CGGAGGCACCGUAAAGGGAGUGAGAGACAGGCAGGCGGGGCUCUUCCGAGACCGCGGGGCGUGAGGCCAUCGGCCAAUCCUGUCUCCUGGCAGCUUCCCGUCCUAGCUAACGGAAGCGGCUCCCGACGCGGGCGGAGGGGCCUCUAGGUGCUGUCCAGGCCUCGGGGUAGCUCUUCCUCCUUUUGCUUAGGCUGCCUCAAAAGACUCAAGGCAUGCCCCAGAAAUGGGUUUCGAAUCGCCUGCUUUACAGCCACACCCAGACAUCCUGCGGCAGCUCAGCUCAGCACAUUCAGAACCAGAUUUGUGAUUGUCUCCCUCCAGCCUGCUCCCGUUUCUGUUACGGUUAUCAUGAUCUGUCUCUGUGAACCUUCAAGUAGAUGACUUGGCAGGUUAGAGCACCGGCCGCUGACCUUGUCCUGCUUGGCUGAGACUUGACCCGACUAAGGACAUGGAAGGAACGAAGAGAAAACAAGCAAGCGACAGAAGGGCUGGGAUCAGGUGGGGUGUGAAACCUGGGCUUGUCAUCAACUCUCACAGCCACAGGUGGGUGCAGACAGAACAAUUCCUGGCUACCAACCUGAAACACAGAUGGUGUACCUCCCACUUACUAAGGAAUGUUAGCCUGAAAAUUAGCGACGUUAUCAGGGAGGGACUGAGUCCGUUUGAAUCUAUUUUUAAAACAAGAGUGUCCUAAAUCUGGUGUGGAAUGGGUUUGAAGAGUCAAGGAAUAAUUUCGACAUACCAAUGAAAUAUAGACUCUCUGCUGUCUGUGGGAAGCCAGGCUCCGGGUCACUACAGAGGUAAAAAAACUGCCUUUAACUUAUGAGCGAACAUGAUGGAAAUCCUUGCUGGUUUAAAAUGGUGUGUGAUUCAGAGUCUUUUGGUAAAUUCAGACUCUAUGAAAAGAUGACUCAACGUGGCAUGAUGUGGAGAGUUACGAUUUUUCCUACAUCCAGUUCCAGCCACAGGAUUUCUUUCUGACCAUGAGUUCACUUGGGAGAGAGGCAGCAGUCUCUAAUAGGUUUAUACGUGGCCUGCACCCUGAGCUCCCGCCAAUGCCGUGAGACCAGGCCUGGUCCCACCUGCUCACAUGAGUUCCCCAGUCAUUAUAGUGUGGAUCCUCCUAGGCCAGAUGUCUGUCCAUCUACCCCCAGAUAUGGGGGCAAGCACAGCCUGCUCCUCUUACCUCCCCUGACUACGGAUCAUUUGAGGUGAUGCCUACCUGGUGGAAACAUGGCCUACAAGCAGGCUUUUGAAGGAUUCUCCUGCCUCUGGUUUCGCUCGCUUUAUGCCUCCCUGGAUGCUGUGGUGUGAACAGCCUCUACCACACUUGCCAAGAACUGAUCUGAGCUACCUCGCCAUGCCUCCCCAAAGUGAUGGGGUGAAACCUGAAAUCAUUAGUCAAAAAUAAAUCUUUCCCAGUGCCAGAGAGAUGGCUCAGCAGUUAGGAGAGCUUGCCGCUCUUUCAGAGGACCAGCAGCUGUGGUUCCCAGUACCCAUAUUGGGCAGCUCACAUCUACCUGCAACUCCAGCUCGAAGGGAAUCUGAUGCCCACUUCUGGCCUCUAGGGGCACCUGCACACACGUGAUACAUACACUCCCCCCACCACCACCCCUUCCACACACAUUUUUUAACUCUAAAAAAAUAAAAAAAGUAACUCUCUUCUUUCUUCACUUGUUUCUGUCAAGUAUUUUGGUUACACAACAAGAAGGUACCCGCCACAGAAUGUGCAUAAAAAUUUACUGGGACAAAUACCUCUGUGACAGAAAAUGAGUACGGUGCUGUAGGCGAGCCCAGCUGUCAGAAGGCAGGGCGAGUCUGCCCCCAAGUGAAGGGAAGCAAGAAGAAACAAGGGACACUGGCAGCUGUUGGGAAGCCUCA
ensembl:lncRNA